GCGGUCGUGGCGGAAUUGGUAGACGCGCUGGGUUUAGGUUCCAGUGCCGCAAGGUGUGAGAGUUCGAGUCUCUCCGACCGCACCA
rnacentral:tRNA from 1 species